AUGGAUGAAGAUGACAAAGUUGUUUCACAGGAUGAAGAAACUGUAAUUGUACAUGAAGAGAAGAAGAAGAAGAAACAGAAGCUUCCAGUUAGGAAAGGGCCUACAACAAGGACACAUUCAAGUGUAGUUCAAGAGGAGGAACCUGAUUUCAAACCUUCAUCUGAUGAAGAAGAGAAAGGAUUGUUGAAGGAGGCCGAUGAUGAUGGUUAUGAGCCAUUGUCAUUUGUGCUGCCAAAGAAAAGGAAGAGCAGGGCAAAGCAGAGGCCUCCUAGAAAAUGGUACAAUGAGAAAAUGGAGGCACCACAUGAGCAAUUAUGUCUAAAGAUGUGUUUCUUGGAUCAACAUCAAUUCAGAGAGGCUUUGUUGAACUUACACAUCACUCAAGGCAGAAACUUCAGAUAUCAUAGGAACUCAGAUCAAAGAAUAAUUGUAGAGUGCAACCAAAAAUAUUGCAACUUCUUUAUGGUGGCAGCAGUUAUAAAAGGUGAAACUACUUUUUUAGUUAAGAAGAUGAGAAUUAAGCACACUUUCCCUAUUAGUACAGAGACAACAAGGGUAAGUGCUAAGUGGCUUGCACAGAAGUAUGAGUCACUGUUCAGAUCUGAUCUAACAACUGGCAUUCAGACUUUGAUUGAUGCCUGCAUGGAGAAGUAUGGUGUGGAUGUGCCCAAGUCAAUGGCAUAUAGGGCAAAGAACCUAGCUAUUGAUGUUGUGCUAGGAGACCACAAGAAGCAAUACCCUAGGUUGAAAGACUAUGCUCAGAUAGUGAUGGAUACAAACCCUAGGAGUAGAGUAGUAGUCACUACUGUAACUCCAACACCCACUGAAAAAAUCCCCCAUCCAGGUCCAAGAUUCCAUGCUAUGUUCUAUUGCAUCAAUGGAGCAAGGGAGGGGUUUCUCAAGGGGUGCAGACCAUUCAUUGGUUAG
rnacentral:rRNA from 1 species